GGUAGCUCAGUGGUAGAGUGCCUGCCUUGUAUGCAUGAGGCCCUGGGUUCGAUGCCUUAGUACCA
rfam:Dipodomys ordii contig_13206, whole genome shotgun sequence.